UGUAGAAAGUAUAUAAGGAUGUUUUUCUGGUAGGGCUUUCAGACCUUCAGAUAAAGGAGCUCUCGAAAUACAACCCAUAAGGAAUAAAGCCAUAGCCAGUGCUUCCCUGGGUUUGGGGAAUCAGAGGUUACAGGAAGGAUUCACGGAAUCCACAGAAGGCUGGAAGAUCAGGGUUGAGACAGUCGGAACCAAGGAAGCUCUGGAAGCUUAAGAAGUAGGAGGCACAGCAAGUCUCACGGCAAGAAGAGCUUGAUAUGAGUACUAUUGGCUAGAGAAGUUUAGUAACUUUCCUGAAGUUUUACAGAAGAUAAGUAUAGAGUGGGAACUCAAAACUAUUUCUGUCUGAUUCCAAAGCCCUUUUAAUAUUUUGUAUUGCUUAAGUAGCAAGAAUAGAGUUUGUAAGAACAUACAAUAUCAAUAAAUGUUUCAUGUCCUUCAUCAUUAACUACUCCAGUUAGUAUCAACCGGGAACUUACUUGGAAUGUACAUUCUCUGCCCCCUCAACAGACCUACUGAAUCAAAAACUCUGGAGGUCAGGCCCAGAAAUCUGUCUUUUGGCAUACUUUCCAGAAUGAGAAAUGAAACUUAAUCCAUGCAGCUAAGACUCAUCUCUGCUACUUCGUACCCUUCCCUAGAGGAGCUAAAUGUUUUAGACAGUGACUUUAUAUUACCUUCUCUUUCAUCUCUUGCUGGAGUCUCAAUGAAGGUAUUAAACUAUUAAUUAUGAUUAUAUAUUUUGCAAAAUUUGCCUUGGAUUCAUUGAGAAUCUGCCCAGGUAAUCAAGAUUCGACCACUUACAAAUUAAAUAUUCAUCGUCUGUGCUCUAAAAUGUAAAGAUUGUCUGCUGAUCACUUGGGCCACAACACUUUUCAAGACCAGGUGAAUAUUCUAAAUGAAUGAAGAUUCUCUGCCCUGUUCCUCUCACCUGCAUGUCAAGCAGGUUGAACAUUAUGAAGGUGGUUUUGAAGAUAAUGCUAGAAUUUAUGAAUGUCUUCCCCCAUUUUCAGCAGGGACAUGAGUUGGGAAGGGCAAGAUGAAUACUUAGCUUUUCCUUCUUUGUGCAUCUCUCCUGUUACUUUUGUUUAAAAAGUGCAUUUUAUUUAACUCUUUAAUUCCAUUAACUUAUUUUAAGUUUAAAAUACAAAUGAAGUAACUAAAUUUAAUUAUUUUUAAUUGCCAAGAUUAGGUCUAGUUACUUCUUCUUGUUAUCUUUAAGGAAAACAAUCUGAAUGUUUAUCACUAGGAUCUUUCUUCUGUAUUCAAAAUUUCCUUGAAAAAAAAGAGGGCUCAUUACCUUAUUAUUUUGUUAUAUUAAGUGCCUAUGCUAGCACCUAUUUAGGCAGUGUUUUUUUAGGCAAUGGUUAUUGAAUAUGGGAUUGAAAGUGUCUUCUAAAUAAAUGAACUAUUAUUAUAUGUCUCCUGAACUUUAAAAUUUUUGAGAUAUAUAUUA